UCUCGUCACGAGUCGAGCUUGGUCAUUGGCGGAGCCAGCUGGAAGGGGUGGGCAGGAAAGCGGUGCUCCGCGGCUUACGGUGGGCGCGCUGAGGGGAAGUGAGGAGACCCGCGUGGGGGCGGUCAGGGCGGGGCUCGACGCGCCGGGACAACGGCCCGGCCUUGUGGUCACCGCCCAGCUUCCCCGGACUCCGCCCCCCACCCCUGUGGGUCCUGGGCCUGGCCAGAGUCCCCGUUCCCCGAGUCACCGGGGGCCUUUGGCUCCGCGAUCCUGAGAGCUUGCACCCUCCCGCCACCCCACCCCUUGCCUGGCCCACUGUGUUCCAGCGCCCCUGAGUGUGAUUCGGACGGUUCCCUGUGAAGCACGGACCCGCCCCCCUCCACACACACGUGGUAUCCAGGGAGAGGUGGGCAGAGCUGCGGCCGUGCCCAGAAACUUGGUGUCGGCCAGGGGUGUCUGUCCAUGCUGCUGGAGGGGGGGACGGCACGAAGUAACAAAGUCUUCCCCAUGUCACUUGACACGUGUGGCCUGCUGGGAAGGAAUCCUGCCCAAGCACGCCUGUUCUCCAGGACAACCUGUGGGUGCCUGCCUGCCUGCCUCUCACCUGGGAGGUCAAGGGUCCCCACGGGCCUGGGAAGCGCCAGGAGGAUGCUGGCUCUCGCGAGAUCUGGGGCUUCCCAUUGAGCAGCCUGCACCCUUCCCCGCCUGAGGAUGUGGGCCACAGCGCACCGCCCCCCCGCCCCCCCCCCCCCCGGCACCCCGGCAGGAUCAGGUGUCAGGGAACACGGGUUCGAGCCCUGGUCCGGGAAGAUCCCACGUGCCGCGCAGCAGCGAAACCCGUGCGCCACAGCUACUGAGCCCGCGAGCCUGAACUACUGAAGCCCGCGUACCUGAGCUCGUGUUCCGCAACGAGAGAAGCCACCGCGGUGAGAAGACCGCACACCGCAACUAGAGAAAGCCCGCGUGCAGCGACGAAGACCCACCACAGCCAAAAAUAAAUAAAAUUUUAAAAACAAAAGUUAAAAAAAAAAAAGCCAGAGGAAAGAAAGAACAUGUGACAGGACCCCAGCGUGGCCCACAGAGCCAGCGGUGCGUGCCCUCUGCCCAGGAGUUUGCAGCCCUGAUGGGAAUCCUGGCUAGUUGCGCUGCCAUGGGCGCGGGGGCCAGAAGCGCUUUCUCAUCACAGCAGCCCAUCCACUGCCAGGGCCAUGCAAGUGCACACCCAGGCCUGGGCCCCAGUGCUCCCCGACCUCCAAGGUCCCCGCCCCCUCUCCUUCUCAGUGGGGUGGGGGCGGGGGCAGCUACCUUGCCUGAGGCUGGGGUGGCCUCUCUUGUGCCCAUAGGUGCAGGCCCUCCUCUCCCAGCUCCCCUCCCCGCCCCGCCAGCCUCCCACCGUGCAGCUGGGAAGUGGGUAGGGGCAGGGAGCAGAGAAGGGUGGGCCCCAUUGUGAGGGUGCAGGCUGGCGAGCCCCUGUCCUCAGUGACCAUGCCAGGUAGCCCCGGGCUGGGCUGUGACGGCUCAGCAGUGGCAGGCGCCAGCCCGGGGUGGCAGGCGAGUGUCCCUUUGGUCCCAAGAAGGAGCUCCCACUGUGGCCAAGGGAGAGGUGCCCGCCGCAUCCUUCUUGCCUGGGAGUCAGACGUGACUCCCUGAUGACACGCUUGGUGGCUCUGAAUUUGUCACGCAGGUUCUGUGGGUGGUGAGUGCCUUUCCUGUUGGCUCUCGCUGCUGGGCAACGCCGGGGCCCUUGGCGACAGCUCUCCGGCCCCGUCCGAGGCCGCCAUGCACUUCUUGAACCCCAGGACCGUGGGUGUCGGGAGAGCCGGGCUCUCUGUCUCCGUCCCAGGAGCAGAGGCUGAGGCCGAGGCCGUGCUUGCUGGGCCCGGCCUUGUGGCUGUGGUGGUGGCUGCCGGGGACACCCUCCGGCCGCGAUGUGGGGCCGCGGGGUCCUGGGGCUCCGGGAGACGCUCGGGCCCGCUGCAGCCCCACACUCCUGGGCCAUCUGACUGUCCCCCUAAGUAGAGCCAUCUUCCAGUCCCUCAGCCCUGGGCAGAAGGCACGACAAGGCGGGCCCGGCUUCCCUGCGGUCUUCCCUCUGAGGCGGCCUGCCCACGGGGGCCCAGGGCACUGCGUGGGCGCUGGUCCUCCCUUGCCCGAGGGAGCUCUUCCUAGAGGCCUGCUCUGUGGAUGGGCAUAAUCAGGGCAGCGGCCAGGCCCUGUCCCCACCCGGCCGCCACCCACCUGCAGUGCUCAUCCUUGGCCCUCACCCUCUCCGCCCGCCCGAGGACCUGGGUGCCUCCCCCCGCUGAGUACCGGCGUCAGUACUUGGACCGUCCUCAGUAGGUGCUCUGACCCCAGGGCAGUCCCCCAGCCCCGCCCAUCGUUUAGCGCUUUCCUCAGUCCUGCUCCCCUGGCUGCGGCCUCGCUGGGCUUGUGGGGACCUUCCAGACACACACACACACACACACACACACACACACACACACACACACACUCCCAUCACUGGCUUCAUCGGGGUUCCUGGGGGGUGUGGAGGUGGCUGCCCUGGAGCACCCUGGCCCUGCGCCCUGGCGUUGGGUGAGGCCGCCCGUGCUGGGGGCCUGCACGGGAAUCCCAAGGGUCUCCAGACUACUGUCUCCCUUGUUGAAGUGCUGGGGCUCCCUCACUGUCGGGUGGGCGGCAGUCCCAUCCUGAGGGGCCGGUGCUCCCCUUUCCUCAGCCCGGUCCCUCCCAUCCUCCUGGGGGAGCGGGCAGCACGGAGGGUCGGGCGGGCGCAGAGGUGUGGCCAGAGCAGGGGUGGAGGCUGGCCAGCCUCCAGGUGGGGUGUGGGUGGUCAGCUCCACCAUCCCCCUGCCCUGCCCUGCCCGCAGCUGGACCUGCAGGAUGGGGGGCUGCUCCCAACUGGGGUGACCAGCCACCCCGUCCCUAGACUUAGUAGGUGAGAUGGGGCCAGCCUGGGGGAAGGCGUGUGGCCGGGACCUCGUCUCUGCUCCUGGCACCUGCUGGUGAGCGGGGCUCGGGCGUGGGCGUGGGGCCUGUUGGAGCUGGGCCACCACCCCUGCUGGCUCUGGGUGGGUGGCCCGGGCUGGACACCCUGCGUGGGAACCUGGCUGAGGCCCAGGCCUUGCACUUCCCCGUCUCCUAGCAGCCGGGGUGUCCUCUGGGGGAUUUGCUCAGUGGGGCCAGGUCCCAAGCCAUUUCUCCCCAGCAGGAUGGGGUCUCGGUGGUCCUUUUCCUGGUGCCAUCUGCCUGUUCCCCACCCACCAGAAGCCCUGGCAGGGAUGGCAGCCCAGUCACGCUCCCUCCUGACCCCUGCCUGGGCGGGCCUCAGGCUCAGGCCUGGUGUGUCCCGUGGCCUCUGUCCUCAGGGCUGUCGUCAGGGUCCCGUUUCCCCCCUCCAGCGUGGCAUCUUUUCCGCCGCUGACGCCUAGCAUGCCUCAUGGCUGCCUGGGUGUGAUGUGGAAUCCGCGGUGGGGACGGAGCCUCCCGGUUAAGCUCAGCCUGGCUCUGGGGCCAUUCUCCCAUGGGGGCCCGUCCAGCAGGCGGGGUUCGGAAAGGUUGGGAGACAGGACUGUCUCCUCCUGGCGGACUGGUAGAGGGAGCAGGCAGGAGGCUCUGGGCGAGUCGGCGGGAGGGGCGUCUGGUGGGCCGAAGGGAGAAGGCGGUGCCUGGGGGGGGACCAUCUCUAUCCCCCCAACUGCGGCUGGACUUCUCUGGGCCUGCCUCUGCCCCUUCUCCACCUGAGCAGCUUCUAGAAGUAGAGUGUCCAGGGACUGGCCGUAGGCCAGCCCAGGGGCAGUAACGCUGGGCACCAUGCCCCUUUCCUGCAGACCAGUGGCUGCCCCUGCUCUGCCUGCCCCCUGCAUGCUGGGGACGAGUGGCUGGAGGCUGGGGGGCCCUGGGUCUGGGUGUUGGGGAGCUGCCACUCGCCCCUGCCUGCUCGUCUUCCUGUCCCUUCCUGAGCUCAUGCUGGGAAGCAACUGUGAUCUGAAUCUGAGCUCAUGGUGGCCCAGAAAGUGCUUCCAGAAGGGGGCAUGGCCAGCAUGUUUUCAGCUGCCCAGUUGGGAGAGGAGGCCUGAAAGCUUGAGUCUUGGCUGGCUCUAAGGCCCUUCCCCGCAUCCGGGGGGUGAAGCUGGCUGCCACCCAGGGGAGGAGCAGGGUGGCUGUGCGGCCGCAGGAGGGACUUCAGAGUUGCGUGCAGAGGGCGGAAAAGCAUGGAGGGCUCGGGGUGGGGCACUGGGCACAGAGGUGAGGGAGGCCCUGAACAGGGCUGCAGAGGAACGGUGACCUGAGCGGCUGGGAUUGCCCUUGCACACCGAUGGCAAGAAGGAGGUAGGGCAGGACAGGCGCAGACACCUGUCACUGGAGUGGGGAUGGGGCAGACUCUGUGGCCAGUGCCUUGAAUGCGUCCACCUGCUGCCACCUGCCCACUGAGGGGCCUGGAGACCCACAGCCUGCCCCCCCGGGGCGGGGGGCCUGGUGACAGUCCCUCCUCAGGGGAUGGUGGCACGUUUAAGCUGUCUGAGGGAUGGCCAGGGCUUGCUGUGAUUUCAGGUCCUGCUUAUCUGGUCCUCCCACCCAGCACUUUACCUCCUGUAGCCUGGCCAUGGCCUGGCCCUUCCCUGGGACAGCAUCCG